CAGCGGGAACUUCAAAUUCCUGUGAUACAGCUGUGGCUGCUUUUGUGUAUUUAUGCCAUUAGAUUGGUUGAUGUGGGUACACCACACAAAUCAAAUAAAUGCAGUAGAAAAAUAACAUAGAAAGGUGAACAACUGGGAAUUAGAAAAGAGUUUAGACAAGAAACCCAGAAACUCCUUUAAUGAGAAGGACCUUUGGCUAUUUGGAAUAUUGGCCCUUGUUCCUGCCAGGGAACUCUUGGCUUUUUGUGGAAAAUUGGGUACAUUUCCAUGAUGGCCUUCAUCAACAGACCUCUUCUCUCACCUCCCGGAAGAAGUUACUGCCUUUCUUCAGCAUCUGUGCUUUCCUUCCCAGCCGUCAAGUCAAACAGUGAUUAAGUGCCUACUGUAUGCACGGCUCCGGUUGCCGGAUGGGUUCUUGUUCUCAAAUCGCUCCCACCACCAAAGUGGCCUCCUGGCCUGGCACAGCCGACCAGCCCCACCAGGAAAUCCGGGACUGGACCUGGGCAGAACAGAAUGGCUGUCCUCCAGAGUUUAGACAACUGGUCCACACUGAAGACAUUGUUUCUGAAAGAGUUCCCAUGACAACCUCCCUCUUCAAGGGUAUAGAGAAUUUAUUCAAAGUCUGAUACAGACUGGCCAAACCACCUUCUACGAAGCGGACAGGAAAAAAGAGCCUACAGAAAAGCUUUACUGAAGCAUGACUGACAAAUAAAACUGUAUGAGUUUAGGGCGCAGAGUCUGCUGGUCGGAUACACACACACGGCGAAUGAUUACGUCCAUCCGCUCACCGGUGCCUUCCUACUGGUCAAAGGGGACAGGCCUGCACGUCCACGACAAGAGACGCCCCACACGUGGACAUGUGGCAGGACCGAGCUUACGUGGCCGUUGGCGACAUCCAGCAGGUCCCGCAACCGGCAGCCCCUGCGGUGCCUGCGCUCGUAGCAGAUGCUGUCUUCCAGGAUCACGUAGUCG